GACGAACGCUGGCGGCGUGCUUAACACAUGCAAGUCGAACGGAAAGGCCUUUUCGGCGGUACUCGAGUGGCGAACGGGUGAGUAACACGUGGGUGAUCUGCCCUGCACUCUGGGAUAAGCCUGGGAAACUGGGUCUAAUACCGGAUAGGACCGCACUUUAGUGUGUGUGGUGGAAAGUUUUUUCGGUGUAGGAUGAGCCCGCGGCCUAUCAGCUUGUUGGUGGGGUAAUGGCCUACCAAGGCGGCGACGGGUAGCCGGACUGAGAGGUUGGUCGGCCACAUUGGGACUGAGAUACGGCCCAGACACCUACGGGAGGCAGCAGUGGGGAAUAUUGCACAAUGGGCGCAAGCCUGAUGCAGCGACGCCGCGUGGGGGAGGACGGCCUUCGGGUUGUAAACUCCUUUCGCCAGGGACGAAGCGUUUUGUGACGGUACCUGGAGAAGAAGCACCGGCUAACUACGUG
rnacentral:rRNA from 1 species